rnacentral:misc_RNA from 1 species
UUCGUGGAAAGCCAGGAGAC